rnacentral:tRNA from 1 species
GCUGUAGUUCAGUUGGUUAGAGCGUCAGAUUGUGGUUCUGAAUGUCGUGGGUUCGAGUCCCAC